rnacentral:rRNA from 1 species
UACGUAGGGGGGCAACGUUGUCCGGAAUCAUUGGGCGUAAAGCGCGUGUAGGCGGUCCGGUAAGUCCGCUGUGAAAGUCGGGGGCUUAACCCUCGGAUGCCGGUGGAUACUGUCGGGCUUGAGUACGGAAGAGGCGAGUGGAAUUCCUGGUGUAGCGGUGAAAUGCGCAGAUAUCAGGAGGAACACCAAUUGCGAAGGCAGCUCGCUGGGACGUUACUGACGCUGAGACGCGAAAGCGUGGGGAGCAAACAGG